UGUCAAUAUCAUCACCAACUGAACGGGUAUCCACAUUCUCAUCAGAAGCAGUAACGGCCUGAAGAAUAACCUCAGUAUCAGAAAUAACCUCCUGGCAGCCGUGUGAUAGGUGAGAAUCCUCAGCAGAUGUGUCGCUAGCAGAGCCCUCAGACACCUCUAUAGCUGUAGCAGGUGUAUUCUUAAGCCCCCUGGCCUUAAGAAUAUGUCUUCCAGACUGCCUGCGAGGAGGAGGCGGAGAUCUCUUCACCUUCGGCUUGUACUUGGGAUCAGGAGGUGACUUCUUGGCUUUCUUCGCUGGAGGCUCAGAUGUGG
rnacentral:misc_RNA from 1 species